rnacentral:piRNA from 1 species
UUAACUUUUGUUACCACAAAA